rnacentral:rRNA from 1 species
UACAGAGGUCUCGAGCGUUGGUCGGAUUCAUUGGGCGUAAAGGGUGCGCAGGCGGUGUGGCAAGUCUGGUGUGCAAGCUUGGGGCUCAAACCCAAAAUUGCAUUGGAUACUGCCAUGCUUGAGGACUGUAGAGGAGAGUGGAAUUCAAGGUGUAGCAGUGAAAUGCGUAGAUAUCGUGAGGAAGACCAGUUGCGAAAGCGACUCUCUGGGCAGUUCCUGACGCUCAUGCAAGAAGGCCAGGGGAGCAAACGGG